GGAGGAAGCGCCUGUAUAAUAUAUCACUAACAGUAGGCUAAACAGUUUCACGUCAACCACCCAUCAGAGCCCCCUCCGCCCUCCCGCUGUCCUAACCGGCCGACAAAAAUUUGAUGUGAUUUCCAACUACAGUCAUCUUGGAACUCUUUAGGAACCGGCUCUUUGAUCCUGGUUUUACAAACUAUUUAAGAUCCGUCUACAAGUUAUCGAAACAGAGAAAUGAAGUAGAACAGUUCACUGAAUAUUUAGGAAAGUAAACACAACAACUUGCAUUGCACAGACUUGAUUUCAGUAUUAUUUUUUUUAAGUGGCUCUGUGUGAACUCCCAAACUAACAACAGAAGUAAGGGUUUAUCUUACUGAUGUACACGUGUUUGAAGUUCUUGAGUUCAUGGUCCACACUUAUCUCUGAACAUCUGUCACGUUUCACACCUCUUAUGUUUUGUGACUUCACCUUGUAACACUGUUGUGUUAACAAAGUCUGUCCACAGAUGAAAUUCACAGAAACACUAUUCAACAUUCUCAAAACCAUCUUUGUGAUACUUGCAACUGCAGACAAGUUGGAAGUACUUAGCUUUGUGGUAUCACUCCUUGCUUAGGGAAGUCCUGCUGUGAAACCUCAAGCUGUGCAUUUCUAGGCAUCACGAGCACACGAGCUGGAUCUGACUGUGAAAUUUAGGGAGAUGGUUUGUUCUUUGGCUAAUGACAAGUCAAUCACAUUUUAAAAACUAGUUUGUCCUGCUCUUUGAUUCUACUGGGGACCGUGAGAGUGUUGACAUAGGACAUAGAGCAAGGGAAAUAAUGGCUGUAUUACCAUAGAUUCUAUAUCACAGGAGGUCUUGUUUUUGUACAUGUAACAGUUGCCCCCUCUUGGUUAGAAAGAAAGGCAUUUCCACAUUGGCUUCACUUGUCAGACCUGGAAGCAUGAAUAUUAUAAAAGAUAGGCAUAACUACUAGAUCUGACAAGUAAAGCCAAGAUAACUUAAGCCUUCAUUCUUUUAAAUGUCUGCAAAGUAAAAAAAAUCUUCAAUCUAUAUUUUUUUUAAUUUUGAUAUUUUGAAAAAAACAAAACAAAUAAAACUCAUAAACAGCAACAGGUUAAUAUUCAUUUAUUUAACUGGUUGUUAUUUAGCCAGCCAGCUGCAGUAUUAGCAGUACUGUGUGUUCAGAAUACGUAAUGCAGUUUUUAUAAAAUGCACAAAUAAGUGCAAAAUACACUUUUGUGUUUCUGAAAUAUCAUUUGUAGCUUUGUAAUAUAUAAGAAAGCCAUAAUAUGUAGUUAUAAUAAUACAUUCGGGUUUUCACAUUGUGUGUCUUCAUCUGAGGAAAAUUAUACAGGGACAUCCUUUGUAUUUACUUCAUUUACCUCCACCACCACAGAAUCACAGUCAUUAAGUACUUACACAGGGGUGUGUGUUUGUGUUUGUGCACAUAUGUAAAAUGAUAGACAUUCCUUAAAAAUUAGUGCUCAUCUUAAGUCUUUCGUCACCCUUCAGCUGUUAGUAAACAAAAUGGCGACUGUAGACAACACUGCCAUUAGAGAGUUUAUGUAGGAAA